rnacentral:sRNA from 1 species
UAAUAUUGACGAGUAGCGGUCAGUGCU